GGGGAUGUAAUGGUUUCGACGGGGACAGAUGGUAUUUGAUAAGCGAGCAGCGGGCUCCUCGAACCGCUUCAGCAAGGGGAAAAAGUGUUUAAAUAUAAACGCUAACGAAGAAUACGCUCUGGCGGCUUAAGCCAGCACUCACCUACUGACUCCCGCUAAGUGGGAUGGGUGUCAACGCGGGAUACUUUAGACGCGCCGCGCCGUAACGUUUAGGGAAAAUUUUUUCGGCGAUUGACUUUGCAAAGUUUGGCAAUGAACUAGGCACGGUUGAAAAAUAAUCAUUGUCUGCGCUCGGAGAAAGUUGGGUAACGUCGUUUUCGGAAAGGAGUUCGAUUCUCCUCAUCUCCACCA
rnacentral:tmRNA from 1 species